rnacentral:rRNA from 1 species
GACGAACGCUGGCGGCGUGCUUAACACAUGCAAGUCGAACGGAAAGGCCCUGCUUGCAGGGUACUCGAGUGGCGAACGGGUGAGUAACACGUGGGUGAUCUGCCCUGCACUUCGGGAUAAGCUUGGGAAACUGGGUCUAAUACCGGAUAGGAGCCAUCUUUAGUGUGGUGGUUGGUAAGUUUUUUCGGUGUAGGAUGAGCUCGCGGCCUAUCAGCUUGUUGGUGGGGUAAUGGCCUACCAAGGCGGCGACGGGGAGCCGGCCUGAGAGGGUGUACGGCCACAUUGGGACUGAGAUACGGCCCAGACUCCUACGGGAGGCAGCAGGGGGGAAUAUUGCACAAAGGGCGCAAGCCUGAUGCAGCGACGCCGCGGGGGGGAUGAAGGCCUUCGGGUUGUAAACUCCUUUCGCUAGGGACGAAGCUUUGUGUGACGGUACCUAGAUAAGAAGCACCGGCUAACUACGUG